rnacentral:lncRNA from 1 species
GCCCCCAGGAGCUCUGAGAGGAGGUAAUGCAGGCGGUGGUGGCGGUGCACAAAGGAGCCAGCAAUCCCCGUGGCGGAAUUCUGCGUGAGGCCUGUAGCCUGGACUCUGGCUGGACAGGGCUGGUGAUGGGACGUCCCCGUCCUUCUGGCUCUGGAGGAGGCAACCCCACCAUGCUCUGUGUUUUAAUGUCCCAGAGCACAUGGGUUUCGAGACUGCAAAGAACGACAGCAAGUUACCAGCUAAAAGCCCUGGGUUGUUGGAGCCCCCAGGGAGCAGGGAGAAAGCCCUGCAGGAGAUGCUGAGGAAAGACUAUAUUCUGCAGUCCUGGCUUUCGUGCAUCUCUCCGGUGACCUGGGACCUGUCCCCUCCCUCUUUACCUUGAGUCGUCAUUUCGGGUAGCCACAAGGGGCUGAGGAGACCCUGGCCACCAAGGAGGCUUGGCAGCUGGAAGCCCCGCUCUGACGAAGCCUUUGUAGAAGCGGAUUCCUCGGCCUGUCUGACGUUUGACUCGGGCUGUCAUGUGGGCUUUUAUCAGAAUAAACAGGUUUUGUUGUGCAUUUCACAAUCUCAGCAUCUUUAAUUUAUCGCACAACAAAUUGGAGAGGAUUUAGCAUGUAUUUAAUUAAUUUGACGAAAGUAGUUCAACAACUGUAAACAAGGCGGUGGAAACACACUUGCUGGGAAGCAGGGCCUGACUCCUCCAGGGCUCCGAGCGGGCGCAGGCUCGAGGCUGCACAUUGGCCUCCGUAGGACAGGGACAGGUGGCACAGGGGUGAGGCUGGGCCUGGAGCAGCUGAGUGGUGGGAGAGCUGGGUGGAGGCAGGAGUCCUGGGUUCCUCAGGGCCACGAAGGGGUGGGAACCCCUGCCCUGCUUCCCUCUCAGAGGACCUCGGGAGCAUGUCCAGGGGCAUUGGCCCCAAAACUGUUUUGUGGCAGGAAAGGUACUGGUAUUACCUGAGGUCAGCCUGCCCCAGACCUACUUCCUGUAAGAUGAAGUUCCAGCAUUACCUCCUCCUAAAAGUAUUUUGUAUCAGUUAGGUACUGUGUUUGCAGUAACAGAGUAAUAUAGCCUGUCCUCCAAGGUGGCUGGAUAGGAGGUUCGU